rnacentral:rRNA from 1 species
GCCUAACACAUGCAAGUCGAACGCGAAAGGGGCUUCGGCCCUGAGUAGAGUGGCGAACGGGUGAGUAACACGUGGGUGAUCUACCUUCGAGUGGGGGAUAACGUCCCGAAAGGGACGCUAAUACCGUAUGACGUUCCGGGUUUAAAGACCUGGAAACCAAAGCCGGGGACCGCAAGGCCUGGCGCUGGAAGAGGAGCCCGCGUCCGAUUAGCUAGUUGGCGGGGUAAUGGCCCACCAAGGCGACGAUCGGUAGCCGGCCUGAGAGGGCGGACGGCCACACUGGAACUGAGACACGGUCCAGACUCCUACGGGAGGCAGCAGUGGGGAAUUGUUCACAAUGGGCGCAAGCCUGAUGACGCAACGCCGCGUGGGGGAUGAAGGUCUUCGGAUUGUAAACCCUUGUCGAGCGGGAAGAACGAUCCGCGUUCUAACACAACGCGGGACUGACGGUACCGCUAAAGGAAGCCACGGCUAACUCUGUGCCAGCAGCCGCGGUAAUACAGAGGUGGCAAGCGUUGUUCGGAAUUACUGGGCGUAAAGGGCGCGUAGGCGGCCAUCUAAGUCAGACGUGAAAUCCCCCGGCUUAACCUGGGAACUGCGUCUGAUACUGGAAGGCUCGAGUUUGGGAGAGGGAUGUGGAAUUCCAGGUGUAGCGGUGAAAUGCGUAGAUAUCUGGAGGAACACCGGUGGCGAAGGCGGCAUCCUGGACCAACACUGACGCUGAGGCGCGAAAGCUAGGGGAGCAAACGGGAUUAGAUACCCCGGUAGUCCUAGCCCUAAACGAUGAAUGCUUGGUGUGGCGGGUAUCGAUCCCUGCCGUGCCGAAGCUAACGCAUUAAGCAUUCCGCCUGGGGAGUAC